GCCCGUAUGGCGCAGUGGUUAACGCAUCCCACUUGUAGACUCCACUACGUCAUGGGAAGAUCCCUCGUUCGACUCGGGGUGCGGGCA